AGAUGACUAGCAGUUGAAGAACUGUGGCGUAGAUUGCUGCAAUAGAGGAUGAGAGAUGUCAACCCGUUAUUGCUGCAGGUAUAAUCUUCACCCGCUCGCAUGAGAGUUGCAAAGUGAACAGAAUUUGAAGGCCUAAAACCCUUCAAAUUCAAGGUGAAGGACGAAGUCCUACCACCUUCAUAUCUUCCCAAUUGUCCCACAAGAAGAAGCUCAUCUGCAACUUUUAUGCCAAUUUUGGACAAGCAUGCGAUUGCCAGAGGUCUAUGGUGACUUGACAA
rnacentral:misc_RNA from 1 species